rnacentral:rRNA from 1 species
UUGACAUACUAAGAACUUUCCAGAGAUGGAUUGGUGCCUUCGGGAACUUAGAUACAGGUGCUGCAUGGCUGUCGUCAGCUCGUGUCGUGAGAUGGUUGGGUUAAGUCCCGNAACGAGCGCAACCCUUUUCCUUAUUUGCCAGCGGGUCAUGCCGGGAACUUUAAGGAUACUGCCAGUGACAAACUGGAGGAAGGCGGGGACGACGUCAAGUCAUCAUGGCCCUUACGGCCAGGGCUACACACGUGCUACAAUGGUCGGUACAAAGGGUUGCUACCUCGCGAGAGGAUGCUAAUCUCAAAAAGCCGAUCGUAGUCCGGAUCGCAGUCUGCAACUCGACUGCGUGAAGUCGGAAUCGCUAGUAAUCGCGGAUCAGAAUGCCGCGGUGAAUACGUUCCCGGGCCUUGUACACACCGCCCGUCACACCAUGGGAGUUUGUUGCACCAGAAGUAGGUAGUCUAACCGCAAGGAGGACGCUUACCACGGUGUGGCCGAUGACUGGGGUGAAGUCGUAACAAGGUAGGCGUAGAUGA